rnacentral:SRP_RNA from 1 species
AAAUGGGCUAAGUCGGGGCAGCUAGGCCUUGCCUACAUCGGAAAAUGGUCUUUAUGUCCGAGCUGAAGCCUUGUGGGCGGCAUGCUAAAGAUUUGCUGUCCUUUUAGUUGGCGUCGAAGUAUUGCCGCUUCGGGCGCUUUAAUUAGGAAACCCCGCCAGGGCCGGAAGGCAGCAACGGUAACUUAGCUAAGGUGUGCUAAAGCGAUACAGUAUGGAGCUGGCUAGGAGGGUAACAUCAGGUGUUUGGUUGUGUCCACCAUGAGGCAUGCCCAUUA